GAUGAACGCUAGCGACAGGCUUAACACAUGCAAGUCGAGGGGCAGCAUAAAAGUAGCAAUACUUUGGUGGCGACCGGCGCACGGGUGAGUAACGCGUAUGCAACCUACCUAUCAGAGGGGAAUAACCCGGCGAAAGUCGGACUAAUACCGCAUAAAACAGGGGCACCGCAUGGUGAUAUUUGUUAAAGAAAUUCGCUGAUAGAUGGGCAUGCGUUCCAUUAGGUAGUUGGUGAGGUAACGGCUCACCAAGCCGAAGAUGGAUAGGGGAACUGAGAGGUUGGUCCCCAGACUGGUACUGAGACACGGACCAGACUCCUACGGGAGGCAGCAGUGAGGAAUAUUGGUCAAUGGGCGGGAGCCUGAACCAGCCAAGUCGCGUGAAGGAAGAAGAAUCUAUGGUUCGUAAACUUCUUUUGCAGGGGAAUAAAGUGCAGGACGUGUCCUGUUUUGUAUGUACCCUGAGAAUAAGGAUCGGCUAACUCCGUGCCAGCAGCCGCCGCGG
rnacentral:rRNA from 1 species